rnacentral:rRNA from 1 species
GACGAACGCUGGCGGCGUGCUUAACACAUGCAAGUCGAACGGUAAGGCCCUUCAGGGUACACGAGUGGCGAACGGGUGAGUAACCCGUGGGUGAUCUGCCCUGCACUUCGGGAUAAGCCUGGGAAACUGGGUCUAAUACCGGAUAGGACCCUGGGAUGCAUGUCCUGGGGUGGAAAGCUUUUGUGGUGUGGGAUGGGCCCGCGGCCUAUCGGCUUGUUGGUGGGGUGAUGGCCUACCAAGGCGACGACGGGUAGCCGGCCUGAGAGGGUGACCGGCCACACUGGGACUGAGAUACGGCCCAGACUCCUACGGGAGGCAGCAGUGGGGAAUAUUGCACAAUGGGCGCAAGCCUGAUGCAGCGACGCCGCGUGAGGGAUGACGGCCUUCGGGUUGUAAACCUCUUUCAGCACCGACGAAGCGCAAGUGACGGUAGGUGCGGAAGAAGGACCGGCCAACUACGUGCCAGCCGCCGCCGUAA